AGCAAAGAAUUUCCAUUGUGCCAAAAAGUAAUGCACUACUCUCAGUCUCCCUUCGGGAAGCAAAAUGUGUCUCCCCUCCCUUUCCCUAAACUUCAAAGAUUUUUUUUUUUUUUUUUAAGAUCUGCUAAACCCUGAUUACUGGGUUGGAACCUGUUGGAAAGGUUAAAUGCUGGGGCGCACUGAUAAGGAGUGCAGCGAAAUCUGUCUGUCAGUCCAAGGUGAAACAUGAAGCAUAUCCCAUUUACAGCCCAAGCCACCACAAUAUGUGGGCUCACAGGGACACUGGCCUGAUGGGAACGGGACAUUCCGGCGCUAGGACCCAGGGAAGAAAGAAAGGAAGAAAGGAAGGAAGGAAGAAAGGAAG